CUUUGACCUGGACUUCCCAUGUGAGGCUUCCUGUACGAUCAAAAUUUUCUGGGCUUUCCGUCUUUAUUCCAAUGUUUUUCUGCCAGUAUUCCACAAUUCGUACUUUGUGUUUGUAAAAUUUCAGGGCCGAAUGUCCCGGCACUCCCUCGGAGGUCUGAGAUUUCAGGACACUUGAAGCCCAACCCUGAUGCUGAAUAUUCCCGAGCAGGAAAACCAGCAGGAAAGAGGAAAUUACAACAGGAAGGUCUCCAGACCAUCUCAAACCAUCUGAAACCAACCAAAAGUGUCAUUUGUGGACCUCCACCAAUAAGGAGCCAGGGUUCCAGUGUCUCAUCCAAUCACAAACAUCUUUAUAUACACCACAGAUCAAGGAGAAAUCACAUGAGUGCGCUGCUUCUGUUACAUAAGACACACCUUCACGCCUGGAUCUGUGGCUAUUACAGGAGAACAGCAGAACUGGAUGGUAAAAAAGGGGGAUUGUGAAUGAGAAAGCCUGGAGGUGGGGAGAGAGGAGAGGAGGGGAAGAGAGAGAGAGAAAGAGCCCUGCCGAUGGACUCGUGGCUGAUUGGUUCUGUUUUAUGACAUAAAAAGUUUGUCAGCAAAAUCCUGGAGCAUCAGAAGCUGGGGAUGAAAGGUUCCGUGAUCGCCAUGGCAACACGCCAGAUGUAAACAUCAGUACGGUUGCGUGGGCGUCUUUUGUUCCAUGUGUGUAUGGGGAAAAAAAGUCACAACAAUACGAUCCUUACGAGAGGUCAGGGUGGUGACAUACAAUUAUGUAAUACGCACGCAUGUAUCUACAAAUUUGAAGAAAUUGACACACACAAUAUGUCACAAAAAUCUGGUCCAGGUCACAUUUCACCCCAAAAUCAAAAGAAAUUAAUUAAAUUUUGCAUAAAGAAAAUGAAUUUUGUAUUUUAUUUUUUAUAUUAUCUUCAGAGAUAUUAAGCACAUUCACCCCCUAAAUGUUAAUUUCAUGUAAUGUGUCCAGAUGUUUUUAUAUUUAAAAGAGCUGCAAAAAAAUCUAAAAGGCAAUUAAUUAAAAAUAGUAAUAAUAAUAGUAAUAAUACAGGACCUAAAAAUAGACUUUCUUUAAAACACACACACACACACAUAUAUAUAUAUAUAUAUAUAUAUAUAUAUGAACAUAAUUCAUAAUUUUGAUGUUGAAAUUUGACAUGAAAGCUAUUUUAGAACCAUAAGGACUGUUUUCAUUUGUGACAUUAUUUUCAUGACAAGUAUAUUUUCACCCUCAUUUCUGUUUAUUUUUGGAUUUUGUUUCUCUAUUAUUCUCAAUAGUGAUUCUCAUGAGAUUCUCACUGUAAUACAAUUAUUUUCUAAUUUAAUUCAGCAUAAAUCAGCAUAAAUAAAGGCAAUACAUCAAAUACUGCCAUGAUGUAUAUUUUCUGCAUUACAGUAAUGAGAUUUUUUAUCAUUAGAUUGCAUUAUGCUAAUGAGAACUAGGAAGAUGCAAAACAAUGCA